rnacentral:rRNA from 1 species
GGAUAAUCUACCCUUAGGACCGGGAUAACCCUGGGAAACUGGGGCUAAUACUGGAUAGGCAAUUUUUCCUGCAAUGGUUUUUUGUUUAAAUGUUUUUUCGCCUAAGGAUGAGUCUGCGGCCGAUUAGGUAGUUGGUUAGGUAAUGGCUUACCAAGCCGUUGAUCGGUACGGGUUGUGAGAGCAAGAGCCCGGAGAUGGAACCUGAGACAAGGUUCCAGGCCCUACGGGGUGCAGCAGGCGCGAAACCUCCGCAAUGUGAGAAAUCGCGACGGGGGGAUCCCAAGUGCCAUUCUUAACGGGAUGGCUUUUCAUUAGUGUAAAGAGCUUUUGGAAUAAGAGCUGGGCAAGACCGGUGCCAGCCGCCGCGGUAACACCGGCAGCUCUAGUGGUAACAAUUUUUAUUGGGCCUAAAGCGUCCGUAGCCGGUUUAAUAAGUCUCUGGUGAAAUCCUGUAGCUUAACUGUGGGAAUUGCUGGAGAUACUAUUAGACUUGAGACCGGGAGAGGUUAGAGGUACUCCCAGGGUAGAGGUGAAAUUCUGUAAUCCUGGGAGGACCGCCUGUUGCGAAGGCGUCUAACUGGAACGGUUCUGACGGUGAGGGACGAAAGUUAGGGGCGCGAACCGGAUUAGAUACCCGGGUAGUCCUAACUGUAAACGAUGCGGACUUGGUGUUGGGGUGGCUUUGAGCUGCUCCAGUGCCGAAAGGGAAGCUGUUAAGUCCGCCGCCUGGGAAG